GGUUGCCAUUGCUUUUGGUGUUUUAGACAUGAAGUCCUUGCCCAUGCCUAUGUCCUGAAUGGUAAUGCCUAGGUUUUCUUCUAGGGUUUUUAUGGUUUUAGGUCUAACGUUUAAGUCUUUAAUCCAUCUGACUUUCUUUGAGGAACAGUGAAUAGUGAUUGAGAGUAUCAUCUGAAUUCACUUAGCGCUCAUGCUGAAUUCUCAGAUCCAGCACCCUCCUAGCGUCCGUGAUCUCUCUAGGAGCAAGACAGAAGAAGAGGGGCUUUUUGAGGCUUUUUGGAGCUUAUUACCUUGAAAAAGCAUUAACAACAAAACCCAGAAAACUAUGUUGAGAGACUACACAUACUUACCGUCAAAGUCUUGAAAUUUUAUAAAGUCCUCUAUUUUUCUCAAAGUCCUAUUUCCUGGACUCCUUCUUCUCCCCAUCCCCGCAUUUCCAUAUUUGUCCUUAAUCCUCACUAUAUCCCGAUCCACCUAUAUGCUAAUGCAACAGUGACCAUGCCAGUCACAAAGGCAAAAUUUGAUGACUAGCUUUUCUAAAACGGUCUCUGUUGAGAUCUUGAAGAUUUCCUCCCCUUUCUUAAUGGCUUUUCUUGAUGAUAUCAUUGUCAGGAAAGUACAUCCCUUGUAGUCUUCCCAGAUUUGCUCGUUUCCCUCAAAUUUAAAUGAUGCAUACUUUAAAACAGCACAUUUAUUAUUUAAGUGCUAUUAGCCCUGGCCUUUGAUCCACAUGAUGGAAUACAGCAGGAGUGUACACUUCUACCAGCUCAGAGAUGCCUGCUUACCAGUCUGCAUUAAAGUCCGGCCUAGCACAACAGAGAGCACAUUGCCAGCAAAACUUACUUCCACAUUCUUGUAGGUUCCGUUUGUUACAAGCAACCAGGAAGCCUGGUUUCAAGGAUUAAUUAGGGACAUAGGGGAGAGGAAAUAGGCAAUUUCACUAAGGAAAAAAAUUUUUCUGUGUAUCAAUUGCCCCUUCUCCUUUUCUGAUCUUUUUGUUGAAAGGCACAAUGUGAGACAACUGAUGAUAGUACCUUAUCAUGGAGUCACGGGAGAAUAUAAGAAUGCAGUAAGUUGGAGAAAAAAGAAAAGAAACGUGAAUGUCUUUGUUAGCUCCGCCUGCUGUAAUAAAAUACCAUAGACUAAAUACAAUAGAAAUUGCUUGAACAACAGAAAUUUCUUUUUCCUAGAUCUGAAGGCUGAGAAGUCUAAGAUCAAGGUGCUGGCCAAUUCAUACAAGAGUCUUUCUUCUUUCUUGCGGACAGCUGCCUUCUUGCUGCGUCCUUACAUGCAAAGGGAAAGAGAGAAAGAAAGGGAGAGAGGAGAAGACAGAGCACUAGCUCUCUCUUGUUUCCUUGAAGAGUACUAAUCCCAUCAUAAGGGGCACAGCUUUAUUACCUCAUCAAACCCUAAGUACCUCCCAAAGACCUCAUCUCAAAAAUAGCAUACCUUGGGGGUUAGGGCUUUGACGUACAAAUUUCAGAGACACAACUCAGUUCAUAGCCAUGGAUUUCACAGGCCAUUCUGCCACCUACCAGCCUGUGAUCUUGACAUGUUACUUAAUUCUUUCAGUCUUCUACAAAUCUGGAGAAAUGAACUUGAGACAAAGUGAAAGUGUUCUGGAAGUCUUGGGAUGUAGACACAGAUAUACCUACCUCAUAAAUGUAUGGAAAGAAAUUUUCUGGCUGCCAAAUAUAUGUGUGGAUGUGGGGAGAAUGUCAGGGGGUGGAGGCAUAAACUGACCUCUGGAGGUGGGGAGGAGGGCAGGUGUCAUAGCUCUACAAGGCAGUAGCAAUGGGUGUGUUAAUGGAAACGUAAGCAUAGAUAAGAUGGUACAUAUGGAAGUACAAAGGAACAUCUCAAGUUCCUGGGAGAAUUGUUGAAGCAGAAAAAGAAGAGCAGGAACCUUUGACUGUUGUUCAUUGCCUGUUUUUAGUUUGUUCAAACUGUAGUCUUCCUCCCCCUACCCCGAGUUGAUUGCAUUUGUACUUAGAGAAAAGAUGUUAUAGAAUGACACAAGAUUCAAAUUACCAGAUUUAGAAAGGCAAGGUCCAGUCAUGUUACAAUGAUUUUGAUCAGAAAGAGCCAGCCUAUUCCACCAUUUUCCCUUUAUUUCCAGGUUAGACAAAGAUUUCAGAGGCUAUGGUCUAACACAAACCUGAAUAGGCCUAUAAACCUCCAAAAUGAGCAGGGAGAAAGGGCAGCUGGAACCCUAUAUGAGUCACUUUCCAGGGUAAAGCCCAAGGGAGAGUGAGAUUCUGAGUUCCACACUCCAACACAGAGAAGGAACAACAGAAUAGAACUGUCCAUGUGGUAUGUGGAGGCAGGUGGGGCUCAAGGGACUUCAUCUACCUCCCUUCAAUCCAUUCAGAAUUGGGGAGCCAUAAAUGAUUUUGCAUGCAGAAAAGUGGUGAAAGACCUUGUCCCCACUGAGUUUCUACGUGUCUACUUGGGAGGGCUACUCGGCGUUCUUUUUUUAUCUAAAGAGCAUAGCAGUAUCUGAGAGGCAGACCUGAGAAUAUCCCUUGGUGAGGUUCAUCAGACACGAACUCAUGUCUAGAAAGAGGUAUUAUACAUCUCCAGUAUGUCAUGUGGAGGGAUAAUGAUUGUCUUCGUCCAUUAGAGCUGCCAUCACACAAUACUAUUAACUGAGUGGUAAUGUAGUUCUCAUAGUUCCAAAGGUUGGGAAGUCCAAAAUCAAGUUGCUGGCAGAUUCAGUGUCUGGUGAGAGUCUGCUUUCUGGUUCUUAGAUGUUGUCUUCUCUCCGUGACUUCACAUGGUGGAAGGGGCAAGGGAUCUUCCUUGCAUCUCUUUUCUAAGGGCACUAAUCACAUUCACAGGGGCUUGCCUUUAGACCUAAUCAUCUCGCCAAAGGCCUCACCUUCUACUACCAUAACCUUGGGGAUUAGGAUUUCCACAUGUGAAUUUUAAGGGGAUACAAACAUUUAGACAAUAGCAAUGACCAAGAACUGCGGCUCUACCUGGUCACGCACCAAGGCUAGGGGAACAUCGAAGGCACUGGGAACCUGGGAAAAGAUGGGAAGCCAGGAGAGUGGCCUGCUCAACAUCAGGUUCCACCACCCAGUGAAAUAGUAAGCUCAAACUAUAAAUAUACACUUAGUCAUUCAAAAAUUAUUUGCACACCUGAGUUUUUGGACUGAUACUUCUAUGCACUGCAGCUGAACAAUUAUUAUCAGUUUGACCCAUUAGGAACAAUAAAACCUGGAUCCUAACCCACCUACAGCUCAGAAUUUGAGUUGUGGGUUGGGGAAGGUAUAGUAGGUGUCAAAGGAAAAUUGAAAGAAUCUGGGAUAUGUUAGGAGAGGAAAUCCUCAAGCUUUAAAUGUAUUGCAGGGUGUGCAGCAAGGAUGUGAAAACUAGAGUUGCCUUCACAAUGAAGUGUCAUACUAUGUAUGAGCUGACAGAAGCAUUUCUGAUGCCCCACUCAGGAAAAUACACAAGUUGGAUGAUCUCCCUCAGGGCUCCAGCAACCAUGGAUAAUGAGAUUACCAAGCUCUUCUGGGAAGACAAUGAUGUGUUCCAACAAUGGCCCAUUCCACAUGCUUUCUUUAUAUGAGUGACACUCCUCUUUAUCCACAAGCUGAAUCCUUGGACCAUAUCUUCCACCUGUCUCUCUUGAUCACAUUCUUACGAUGUGUGCCCUGAGCAACAGCAACCAUGCUGUGAAGAAGCACAAACCAGCCUAGACAGAUAGACGGCAUACAAAGGCUCACAUGGAGUGGAACUGAGGUCCCCAGCCCGCAGUCAACAGCCAGCAGCCAGCAGCCAGCCUCAACUACCAGCCCAGUGAGUGAAUGAAGCUUCAAAUGAUUCUACCACUCAGCUUUUGAUCCACUUCAGCUGUUGCAAUGUAGCGCUAAGACAAGUUAUCCCCACUAAAUCCUGCCCGAAUUACAGAUUAAUGAGCAAAACAAAUUUGUCUUGUUUGAAGUUACUAAGCAUCAGAACAAUUUUUUUUUAUACUAAAGGUAACUGUUACUGAGAAACAGUUCUCAGGUGCCUGACAUUACUCACACAAAAUGAUAUAAAUCUAUU